ACUGUGGACACUCAGAGGAAGGAGACCUAAUCCAGCCUGGACACAGGAAGGAAAGCGUCCUGGAGGCGGCGCGUCCUGAGUGAACCUUCAGGAUAAAGAGCAGUUAGCUAGGGGAAGGGUGGAAUAAGGCAGAGGGCAUUCCAGGAAGAGAGGAGAGCUUGCACAAAGGCUCGGGACGGACAGUCAUGUGAGGUGGGUGUGUGGUAGGUGGGAAGGUGCAAAUGUACGCGAAUGGCCAAAGCUUACGGCGAGAGGUGAGGAGGGGCCAAGAGCUGGGGGGAGGUGGGCGUGGCCACACUGCGUCCCGGGAGGCCUUGCACUGGAAGCCCUCAGGAGUCUAGGCAGAGGCAUGGCCUGGUCUGGUCUGGGCUCAGGGCAUGUGAAAGAGGGUCGGGGCCGGCUGAAGCUGCUAUCCAGGCCGGCUCCUUCCAGGCUUCCUCUGUGUCCAUCUUUACCUCAACCCCAGGCUGCACGGAAGGUGGCUCUCGCUGGGAUCAUGGCCAAGAGUGGACUGCCCCUGGGGACCCCUGCCGGAUCUGCCGGUGCCUGGUGAGUCCCUCCUCUGCUCCCACACCCCUCACCCCGCCCCAUCCCCAGGCCAACCAUAUUCAUCCCUUCAUUUCACUGAGCACAUCCCCUAUGCACUGGGAGGGGACAGAGGUGGAGAAGACCUGAUCCUGGGCGCUAUGAGGGUGAGGAUGGGGCUGUGCCCAGCUGUAUGCCCAGUUCUGAGCAUCGUAGAUGUGCAGCGUGGGUUUGCGAAUGAACUCAAAGAGCUUGCAAGCUCCGGAAGUGAGGCAGGUCAGGAUAUGACAGGCAGCAACAGCUCGGGGGAGAGAGAAAUGCAGAUUACGUGGAGACAUCUAGAACUGCGCUGUCCCGUCUGUGGCCACCACCGCAUGUGGCCACUGAGCCCUUGAAAGUAGCUGUCCAGUUGGAGAUGGGCUGAAGUGCAAAAUGUGGGAUUUUAAAGACUUAGGACAAAAGAAAGGAAUAUAAAACAUCUCAUUGCUACUUUAUGUUGAAAUCACUUUUGGGGGGGCGCCUGAGUGGCUCCAUCGGUUAAGUAACCGACGUCAGCUCAGGUCAUGAUUCCAUGGUUGGAGGUUCGUGAGUUCGAGCCCUGAGUUGGGCUCUGCAUGGACAAUGUGGAGCCUACUUUGGAUUCUCUGUCUCCCUUUCUCUCUGUCCCUCCCCUGCUGGUACUCUUUCAAAAAUAAAUAGGGGCACCUGGGUGGCUCAGUCGGUUAAGCAUCUGACUUUGGGUCUGGUCAUGAUCUCGUGGUCCGUGAGCUCGAGCCCCGCAUCGGGCUCUGUGCUGACAGCUUAGAGGCUGGAGCCUGCUUCGGAUUCUGUGUUUCCCUCUCUCCCUGCCCCUCCCCAAGUCAUGCUCUGUCUCUGUCUCUCCCUCUCUCUCUCUCAAGAAUAAACAUUAAAAUUUUUUUAAAUAAAUAAACAUUUUUUGAAGUUUUUUAAAAAAGAAAUAACUUUAGGAUAUAGUCAGUUGAAUGGAAUAUAUAUUAUUAUUUAGUUUCAUCUGUUCCUUUUUGAAAUUUGACUGCUAGAGUAAUUUAAUUUAUUUUAUUUUUUUGAGUGAGAGAGAGCAUGUGUGUGCAAGCAGGGGAGAAGCAGAGAGAGGGAGGGAGAGAAUCCCAAGCAGGCUCCGUACCCAGCACAGAGCCUGACACAGGGCUCGAUCUCACAACCAUGAGAUCAUGACCUGACCCAAAAUCAAGAGUUGGAUGCUUAACCCACUGAGCCACUCAGGCACCCUUACUAGAGAAUUUAAAAUGACUUACGACUUGUGUUAUGUUUCUACUGGGCAACACAGAUCUAGAAAAUCUUCAUGGAAGGGAUGGUGUUUACCUAGGUCUUAAAGGGUGAGUAGCGUUUAAGCAGGAAGAAAUGGGGGAAGACAUUCCAGGUGCUAUGAACUGAAUGUUUGUGUCUCCCCCAAGUUCAUAUGUUGAAAUCCUAACCCCAAGGUGAUCGUAUUUAGAGGUAGGGCCUUUGGGAGGUGCUUAGGUCAUGAGGGUGGAGCCCUCAUGAAUGGGAUUAGUGUCUUUGUAGAAGGGACCCCAAAGAGCUAGCUCCUCUCUUCAGCCACGUGAAAACAGUGAAAAAGCAGGUGUCUAGGAACCUGGAAGCCGGUCCUUUUCAGACACUGAAUCUCCUGGCACCUUGAUCUUGGACUUCCCAACUUCCAGAACUGGGAGAAGUAAAUUUCUGUUGUCUAUAAGCCCCCCAGCCUAUGGGAUUUCAUUACAGCAACCCAAGUGGACUAAGACACCAGGUGUAGGGAACAGUCAGGGCGAAGCCUGGGGGAAGAAGGUGGGGACGUGGAAACGUCAUGUCCAGGCAGGGAGCAUCCUGAGAAGGGUUGUGUUUCAAGCCAGAGCCAUACAGCUUCCUGACAGCCUACCAAGGUCUGAAGACUCCACUGCGAAGGCCAUGGGGCAUCCAUCCCCUUUGCAACCACGUGCCUCCCUUCCCUGUUCACAUGGACCACCCUCCCGACACCCGUGAGAAGAGUCACUGGCUGCCCACUUACGGGACUGGACAUAGUGAGCCCUGAUGUAGGUGGGAACUCAAAGGGCGGGGGUCUGUCCGGGAACAGCCGUGGCGAGUAGCAGCAGCUACUGUUUACUCGCCAGCUUCCAGAGGUGGCUGUCACACCGGACACCAUAUCUCAUUUCAUUCCCAUAACAAGGCUGUGAGGACAGGACUAUUACUGUCUUUGCCGAUGGGUAAACUGAGUCACAGAGAGCUUCAGUAACGCGCUGGGCACCAUAACAAAGUACCGCAAAGGGGUUUGGCUUAAACAACAGAAAUGUAUCAUCUCGUGGUUCAGGAGGUCAGAAGUCCAAGGUCAAGGUGUCCUUCCGAGGGCUGUAAGAGGGAAUCUGUUCCAGGCCUCUCUCCUGGCUUUUGGUGGUUUGCUGGCAAUCCUUGGUAUCCCUUGGCUUCUGCCUUGAUCUUCACAUGUUGCUCUCCCUGUGUGUGUCUGUGUUCAAAUUUCCCCUUUUUUAAGGACGCAGUUUUUGGAGGGGCCACCCCACUCCAGUAUGACCUCAGCUUAACUAAUUAUAUAUGGAGUGACCCUAUUUCCAAAUACGUCGUGUUCUGGGGUGCGAGGGGUUAGGACUUCAACAUAUGAAUUUGGAGGGGGGCACAGCUCAACUCAUAACAACAUCUAGUAAGCGCAUCGUGGGAACUCGACUGCCAUUUCUGCCACUUGACGGAGCUCUAAUGGCCCCUUCCCCUGCCCGCUGUGCCCCCUCCCAGGAGGGCCACAUUCAGUGCCGCCAGCGAGAAUGCUCCAGCCUGUGCCCGUACCCUGCCCGGCCUCGUCCAGGCACCUGCUGCCCGCUGUGCGAUGGUGAGUCAGUGGGUGGAGUCUGGAGUGGGGGUCCAGAAAGCUCACCUGUGGCCCAGCUCAGUCUCCCAUGAAGGCCAGGACUUUAAGGCACCCUAUUCCCCAACAGGCUGUUUCCUAAAUGGGCGGGAGUACCGCAGCGGAGAGCCCGUGGGCUCUGGGGACCCCUGCUCGCGCUGCCACUGUGCCGUGAGUGUGGCUGGCCUGGCAGGGAGGGCCUGGCUUCUGGGCCUGCCUCUUGAAUGCUGAUCAGGCCCUGUUGGCAGAACGGGAGUGUCCAGUGUGAGCCUCUGCCCUGCCCGCCCGUGCCCUGCAGACACCCAGGCAGGAUCCCUGGCCAGUGCUGCCCAGUCUGUGAUGGUGAGCUGGGGACUCGAGUCACCGGGAGAGGGGCAAGCACUGGCCCAAGAGAGGCUCGGGAGGGGGGCGGGGUCGGGCGUUUAGACCUACAGGAAGCUCCCUUGAACUAAAGUGCAGGACAAGUCCUUGAUCGGCCUAGGCUCCCGUCACCACGGGUGAGGGUCACGUUCUCACCUUCUCAUGGCACACUGGGCACCAUGGCGGGGCCCUUGAUCCUGGAGGUAGGGGAGGCUGGCUCAUCAGGGUUGGGGGGGGUGGAUGCUUUGAGGUGACGUGAGGCUUCCCCAUCAGCCUCCAGCCCUGCCCCCGGUCCCCCUGUCCUCCUGACCAGGCUGUGAGUACCAGGGACACCAGUACCAGAGUGAGGAGACCUUCCGACUCCAAGAGAGGGGGCGCUGCAUCCGCUGCUCCUGCCAGGUAGCCAGUCGCGCCCUCUCACACCCCAGAUCUGUCUCACCCCUUGAGGACCUCUCACCCGGCAUCCUUCCUAGGCUGGCGAGGUGUCCUGUGAGGAGCAGGCGUGCCCGGUUGCCCCCUGCACCCUGCCUGACUCUGGCCCCCAGCUCUGCCCAGGUAUGUGUGGGGAGGGAGAGAAAGAGGAACAGCUUCAAAGGAGUGCUGCUCGCAGGCGCUGAAGACGGAGGGGUUCCUUCACAAUAAGGGGGGCACUGUCCGGUCCACCAGCCACUCCCAGCGUGGGGUCAGAGGCCACCGUAGGCCUGGCAGAGCCAGGGCCCUGUGGUCUGGGAAGGUCAGGGGUGGCAGCAGGUGUCUCGGUUGCCAUGGUGACAGCCCCCCUUGCGGCAGCCUGCGUGCUGGAUGGAGAGGAGUUUGCUGAGGGGGUCCAGUGGGAGCCUGAUGGUCAGCCCUGCACGGCCUGCUCCUGUCAUGAUGGCGUGCCCAUGUGUGGGGCUGUGCUCUGCUCCCCACCCCCCUGCCAGCACCCUACCCAGCUCCCCGGUGAGUGCCCCACCCUGAUCUGGCCUUCCCCCCUGCUUUGUCCAGCCGGCCCAGAUCAGCUGGGCUCUGAUCAGUCUGCCUCCCCCAGGUGCCUGCUGCCCCAGCUGUGAGAGCUGCACCUACCACGGCCAAGUGUAUGCCAAUGGGCGGAACUUCACGGACGCGGAUAGCCCUUGCCGCGCCUGCCGCUGCGAGGUACCACCCCAGGCUUGCUACUGCCCUGCUGAGCCCCUCCUGGAGCCCACCCCCAUUGCCCUCUCCCCUGCUCCCAGGCUGGGACUGUGAGGUGCUCCUUGGUUGACUGCCCUCCCACAACUUGUGCCAGGCCCCAGAGUGGACCCGACCAGUGCUGCCCCAGGUGCCCAGGUAUGUGCUUAUGACACUUGUCUGGCUUGGGGGCCCCGGAGCCAGCUCUCCCAUGGCCCCACGGGCUCAACAGAUACCCUAGCAAGCAACAGCCUUCUGAGUUGUUUUCAGACACAGCUUGGACUUUCUGGAACUCACAGGGUAUGGGUAGGAGGGAGAGUAGAGAGAUGUUUAUCCCUUCAUGUUCCUGUAUGUCCCUUCCCUCCUGUUCUGUAUUUCCUCCUCCAGUACCCUUACCGGUCAGAUAUAUUCCUGUGUCUAUAUAAAGCAGCUCCAUGCCACAAACGUUUGGGUCUGAUGUGCGGGAGACUGGGUGCUGGGAUGCAGUGUAACCUGGUCCCUGCCCCGCCCUCCUGGAGAGUCUGUACCAGAGCGUGUAUCACAAACACAGGCACGUUCAUGCACGAGCUCCUUGGCUGUUCACCCUCAGAGGCAUACACACAUGCAUCAGGUAAAUGGGCUCAAAUAUGCCUCCACAUGCGAGCGUGUGCUCGGAGAGAUACCCAUGCCUGCAUACACAGACCCUUCUUCCACUCUCUCUGUGGUGCUUCCUGCUGGCAUUUCCUCAGUGGCCCUGGACUCCAAGGAUAGAUGGGCUGUCAGCCCAUGCCUAGAACUGUCAGUCCUCGCCCCCACUCCUGCCCCUCUCCCUGCCCCAAUGCUCAGACUGCAUCCUGGAGGAACAAGUAUUUGUGGAUGGCGAGAGCUUCUCCCACCCCCGAGACCCCUGCCAGGAGUGCCGGUGUCAGGAAGGCCAUGCCCAUUGCCAGCCUCGGGCCUGCCCCAGGGCCCCUUGUGCCCAUCCACUGCCUGGCACCUGCUGCCAGAACGACUGCAAUGGUGAGGUGGAUGCCAUGGGGAAGGUGGGGGGGGGGCGGUCUCCUGGGAUGGCUUGGCCCCAUCUGUGGGCUUUUAGGGUCGGAAGGGCAGCCUCCCCGGGGAGGAAUGGGCCCCUCCCAGGCCUAUAGCUGCCCCCUCCCCCAGGCUGUGCCUUUGGCGGGAAAGAGUACCCUAACGGAGCAGACUUCCCCCACCCGUCUGAUCCCUGCCGUCAGUGUCGCUGUCUGGUGAGUCUGCCACCUGGGUGAGAGGAGGAGGCUAGGGGAGUAGGGGUGGGACUUGGGAGACCAGGAGAGGGCCCCCAAGGUGGCAGUCAGAGGGGUGGGGGUCUCCUCAGCCUCCCACCACUAACCGGCCUGGCGUGGGCCCUCUGUUGCAGAGCGGAAGCGUGCAGUGCCUCUCCCGCCGCUGCCCGCCGCUGCCCUGUCCAGAGCCGGUCCUGCUGCCCGGAGAGUGCUGCCCGCAGUGCCCCGGUAGGAUGCGCACACCCCUCGGGCAGAUCCGCAUGGGAGGGAGGGGCGAGCCUCCGCAGCCUCUCCUUGGAGCCCUGACUCGCGCACGCUCUCUGCAGCCACCUCCUCCGGCUGCCCGCGGCCAGGGGGCGGGGUCCCGGCCCGCCACCUAGAGUAUUUCUCCCAGCCCGACGACCCCUGCCGCCGCUGCCUCUGCCUCGAUGGCUCUGUGUCCUGCCAGCGGCUGCCCUGCCCGCCUGCUUCCUGCUCCCACCCGCGCCAAGGGCCCUGCUGCCCGUCCUGCGACGGUAACUGGCGCCCCCUCCCGGCCUAGGCAGCACCCCACCCCCACCUGCUCCCUCCAGCUCUGCCCCCAGCCUCACCCUACUCCGUCCCCUCUUAUGACAUGUCCCCCUUCCUCCAGCCCCUAACACUGCGCGACCCCAGUACCCCCCCUUCCUCCGGGCCCACCACUCCCACGUCGGGGUUCUCACUAAGAAUGUGGGGGGACACCGCCCUGUUGGCAGGGUCAGGGAGGCCGUGGUCCUGGCAGACGGCCACCACGACCGCCACUGCUCCUGCCUUGCUCGCCUGCCCGCCUAGGCUGCCUGUACCAGGGGAAGGACUUUGCCAGCGGGGAGCGUUUCCCUUCGCCCACUGCCUCGUGCCACGUCUGCCUCUGCUGGGAGGGCAGCGUCAGCUGCGAGCCCAGGGCCUGCGCACCUGCUCAGUGCCCCUUCCCCACCCGGGGUGACUGCUGCCCUGCCUGUGAUGGUGAGGGGCAGGGGACUGUGGGGAUGAGGGGCUGGGAAGGCCAGGUCAGCGUCAUCUUUACUGCCCUAGAGUGAGUCCCCAACAUCUGUCACCGUAACAGAAAACACUG
rnacentral:lncRNA from 1 species